UACGUAGGGGGCAAGCGUUGUCCGGAUUUAUUGGGCGUAAAGAGCGUGUAGGCGGCCAGACAAGUCUGCUGUGAAAACUCGAGGCUCAACCUCGAGCUGUCGGUGGAAACUGUCUGGCUAGAGUCCGGAAGAGGAGAGUGGAAUUCCUGGUGUAGCGGUGAAAUGCGCAGAUAUCAGGAAGAACACCAAUUGCGAAGGCAGCUCGCUGGGACGUUACUGACGCUGAGACGCGAAAACGUGGGGAGCAAACAGG
rnacentral:rRNA from 1 species